rnacentral:tRNA from 1 species
GCCCCUGUGGUGGAAUGGCAGACACUGGGGACUUAAAAUCCCCUGGCCGAAAGGUCGUGCGGGUUCGAGUCCCGCCGGGGGCA